AAGGGACUUGGUGGACGAUGGGCUCAAGACAGAAAGGGGGCUAGUAAUAUUUCUUCUUCAUCUCCCUCUUCCCUCUCUCCUCCAUCAAGUGGAAGAAGAUGAUGAAGAUUAAAGAGAAAGCAAUGCCAGCUAUUACACUUAUUAGACAUCUUUUUAUAGCUCAAAUAAAGGAAGAAAGAAAUAAAGAGUUUAGUUUUCUUCAUUGAGCCUUCAAGGAUGAAGAGUGAGAAAGCUGAUGAACUGCUUGAGUUGGUUGGCUACUACAUGGCCUUUCUCAUGAAUUCUUAUCAAGAAGCAAGGUAUGGUUCUCCAACCAUGAAUAGCAUGGAUAUGAGCCAUUUUGCUAUUUGCUACUCCCUCCGUCCCAUUGAAAGUGUAAUACUUUCCUUUUUUGGCUGUUCCAAAAUGUUUGUCAUGUUUGAUAUUUCUAACUACUUUAUAUUCUGAAAUUUUCCUUAUACCCUUCAUUAAUGAUGCAUAAAGACAAAUAUGAUGGGAUUGUUUUCUACUUUUUACUUUGACUA